rnacentral:misc_RNA from 3 species
AACGCAUAUUGCGCUCUUUGGUAUUCCGAAGAGCAUGCUUGUUUGAGUAUCAGUAAACACCUCAAAACUCUUGAUCUUUUUCAAGCGUUUUGGACUUGAGCAAACCCAACGCCUUUUCUUUUAAGAUCUGUUGCGGCGGGUUGCUUGAAAUGCAGGUGCAGCUGGACAAUCUCCUGAGCUAAAAGCAUAUUUAUUUAGUCCCGUCAAACGGAUUAUUACUUUUUGCUGCAGCUAACAUAAAGGGAGUUUUGACCAUUAUGGCUGACUGAUGCAGGAUUUCACAGAGAAAAGGCCGGCAACGGUUUUGUCUCUGUCAAACUCGAUCUCAAAUCAAGUAAGACUACCCGCUGAACUUAA